CGAACGCUGGCGGCGUGCCUAAUACAUGCAAGUCGAACGCACUCUCGUUUAGAUUGAAGGAGUUUGCUCCUGAUUGAUAACAUUUGAGUGAGUGGCGGACGGGUGAGUAACACGUGGGUAACCUGCCCUAAAGUGGGGGAUAACAUUUGGAAACAGAUGCUAAUACCGCAUAAAACCUAACACCGCAUGGUGUAGGGUUGAAAGAUGGUUUCGGCUAUCACUUUAGGAUGGACCCGCGGUGCAUUAGUUAGUUGGUGAGGUAAAGGCUCACCAAGACCGUGAUGCAUAGCCGACCUGAGAGGGUAAUCGGCCACACUGGGACUGAGACACGGCCCAGACUCCUACGGAGGCAGCAGUAGGGAAUCUUCCACAAUGGACGAAAGUCUGAUGGAGCAACGCCGCGUGAGUGAAGAAGGUUUUCGGAUCGUAAAACUCUGUUGUUGGAGAAGAAUGUAUCUGAUAGUAACUGAUCAGGUAGUGACGGUAUCCAACCAGAAAGCCACGGCUAACUACGUG
rnacentral:rRNA from 1 species